rnacentral:snRNA from 1 species
AGCUUUGUGCAGUGGCAGUAUCGUAGCCAAUGAGGUUUAUGCGAGGCGCGAUUAUUGCUAAUUGAAAAAAAAAAAAAACAGCACAGAGUAUUUAUCCAAGAGUAGGUAUUAUGCCAAUCAGAUCCUCUG